ACUCCUACGGGAGGCAGCAGUGGGGAAUAUUGCACAAUGGGCGCAAGCCUGAUGCAGCCAUGCCGCGUGUGUGAAGAAGGCCCUAGGGUUGUAAAGUACUUUCAGCAGUGAGGAAGGGGUGUAUGUUAAUAGCGUGCAUCUUUGACGUUAGCUGCAGAAGAAGCACCGGCUAACUCCGUGCCAGCAGCCGCGGUAA
rnacentral:rRNA from 1 species